GAUGAACGCUAGCGGCAGGCCUAACACAUGCAAGUCGAGGGGCAGCAUUACUACUUGUAGUAGAUGGCGACCGGCGCACGGGUGCGUAACGCGUAUGCAACCUACCUAUCACAUUGGGAUAGCCUCUAGAAAUGGAGAUUAAUACCGAAUGGUAUCUAAAUAUUGCAUGAUAUUAAGAUUAAAGAUUUAUCGGUGAUAGAUGGGCAUGCGUGACAUUAGCUAGUUGGUAAGGUAACGGCUUACCAAGGCGACGAUGUCUAGGGGAUCUGAGAGGACUACCCCCCACACUGGUACUGAGACACGGACCAGACUCCUACGGGAGGCAGCAGUGAGGAAUAUUGGUCAAUGGAGGCAACUCUGAACCAGCCAUGCCGCGUGCAGGAUGACUGCCCUAUGGGUUGUAAACUGCUUUUAUACAGGGAGAAAAUUACCUACGAGUAGGUAACUGACGGUACUGUAAGAAUAAGGACCGGCUAACUCCGUGCCAGCCGCCGCCGUAACAC
rnacentral:rRNA from 1 species